rnacentral:rRNA from 1 species
UACAGAGGUCCCAAGCGUUGUUCGGAUUUACUGGGCGUAAAGGGAGCGUAGGUGGCAUUCUAAGUCUGAUGUGAAAGCUCUGAGCUUAACUCAGAAAUGGCAUUAGAAACUAGUUUGCCUGAGGAUUGGAGGGGAGAUUGGAAUUCUUGGUGUAGCAGUGAAAUGCGUAGAUAUCAAGAGGAACACCAGUGGCGAAGGCGAAUCUCUGGACAAUUCCUGACACUGAUGCUCGAAAGCUAGGGGAGCAAACGGG